CAGCCAGCGCCAGUUGCAGUCGUUUGUGAGCGUUCGCAGCGCUAGGUACUCAGCAAGUUUCCUGGUGCAUUCGAAGCAUAACUGUGACUGAGCAGCACAAGUUGCAGUUACAGUUGCAGCCAACAGUGGUCAUACAGUGGACACAAAGUGUUAACGAAACACACAAAGAAACUGAAAACGAAAACAACAACAACAACAAAUAUAU